UACGAAGGGGGCUAGCGUUGUUCGGAAUUACUGGGCGUAAAGCGAACGUAGGCGGUGUUCCAUGUCAGAGGUGAAAGCCUGGGGCUCAACUCCAGAAUUGCCUUUGAAACGGGAACGCUUGAGUCCGAGAGAGGGUGGCGGAAUUCCUAGUGUAGAGGUGAAAUUCGUAGAUAUUAGGAAGAACACCAGUGGCGAAGGCGGCCACCUGGCUCGGUACUGACGCUGAGAUGCGAAAGCGUGGGGAGCAAACAGG
rnacentral:rRNA from 1 species